GUCUCCUUUUCUCCUAAAUCCCAAAGUUGUAACCUGGUAACCCUAAAAGGCAACUCUGUUCCCUUGAUACCAAAAAAAAAAAAAAGACUUGGGUCACCAAAGAUAUGAUGUGAUUUAAUUUAAUUCAUCUUCCUUCAAGGACUACAUACAGAGUCCAACAGUCUUUGGGAAAUGUUAUUACUCCUCUAAUAAUUACAGAACUAGUCUAUUUUAAUCUUUUGAGUAUUAUCUCCCCAAAUGAAAGUAAUUAACACCAAAACCUCUUGAGAAACCUAAAGCUACAGUUGUAUGUUUUUCACAAGAAUGUUCAGUUUUUAUAAUACUAAGAAGCCUUUCUGUUAGGUAAAGAAACAAAGACAAUAGCCAAUCCUCAGCUGGGUAUUUGCCAAGUCAUCAUUAAUUGGCAGCUGUUUCAUUUCCCUUCAAAACCCUUAAACAUAAUUGUUUUGACUCACAUAAGAUCUGAGUUAAAAUUAAACCUGGGGACAUUUCCCAGCUUCAGAUUCACUGACUGUUUUGUUCCUUUGGCCUGAGGGAAGGAGUGGCCCCUCAGACUUGGAGAGCCUGGGAACAAAGCUCCCAGAACUGUUCUCCCACUCCCAGCCUAGAGCCGGAAGUGGCUGACAGUGAUCUAUUAACAGCUUAAACUAGAGGCAUGCAUGUGCAAAGCUCCGGUUUUGGUGGCGAUUUGAAUCAGUUAAAGGAAUUUAAAAGUUGUCCUCCCUUCCAGUACUUUAAAAAGCUGUACCUUUUACUAACAUAAUAAUUAAAAUAUCUCUAGAAGAUAGAUAUAUAUUCUUGAAUGACUCGCCAAACAAUUGGUGGACUCUUGGUUUAAACAUUGAUCAAAGUUAACUGAGAAAGCAGGAAUAAAGUAUGAUUUUGGAUAUAAACUCAGCUGGUACACUUGAAUUACAAAGAAUAAAAUUCUGGCUGCCUUAGCCUCAUUUAGGGGGAAAAGUAUAUAUGGAUGAACCUGGUCACAGUGGAAAAGAAUUAGUU
rnacentral:lncRNA from 1 species